UGGGGAAUUUUGGACAAUGGGCGAAAGCCUGAUCCAGCAAUGCCGCGUGUGUGAAGAAGGCCUUCGGGUUGUAAAGCACUUUUGUCCGGAAAGAAAUCCUUGGCUCUAAUACAGUCGGGGGAUGACGGUACCGGAAGAAUAAGCACCGGCUAACUACGUGCCAGCAGCCGCGGUAAUACGUAGGGUGCAAGCGUUAAUCGGAAUUACUGGGCGUAAAGCGUGCGCAGGCGGUUUGCUAAGACCGAUGUGAAAUCCCCGGGCUCAACCUGGGAACUGCAUUGGUGACUGGCAGGCUAGAGUAUGGCAGAGGGGGGUAGAAUUCCACGUGUAGCAGUGAAAUGCGUAGAGAUGUGGAGGAAUACCGAUGGCGAAGGCAGCCCCCUGGGCCAAUACUGACGCUCAUGCACGAAAGCGUGGGGAGCAAACAGGAUUAGAUACCCUGGUAGUCCACGCCCUAAAACGAUGUCAACUAGUUGUUGGGGAUUCAUUUUCCUUAGUAACGUAGCUAACGCGUGAAGUUGACCGCCUGGGGAGUACGGUCGCAAGAUUAAAACUCAAAUGAAUUGACGGGGUCAUAGCUG
rnacentral:rRNA from 1 species